rnacentral:rRNA from 1 species
CUGGGCCUACGGGGGGCAGCAGUGGGGAAUAUUGCACAAUGGGGGAAACCCUGAUGCAGCGACGCCGCGUGAGUGAAGAAGUAUUUCGGUACGAAAAGCUCUAUCAGCAGGGAAGAAAAUGACGGUACCUGACUAAGAAGCCCCGGCUAACUACGUGCCAGCAGCCGCGGGAAUACGUAGGGGGCAAGCGUUAUCCGGGUUUACUGGGUGUAAAGGGAGCGUAGACGGCAGCGCAAGUCUGGAGUGAGAUCCCAUGGCGUA